rnacentral:lncRNA from 1 species
UUCGGUCAUUUUCUGGAAACAGCCACCAUGAGUGCUGAACAAAAAUAUCCGGGGGGAAGGAUUUAAUGUAGCAGGUCUGCUGAGACAAAAACCUUAACUAAAAUAUUAUGUUCAGCUCAUUGAAAAUAUAAGUUUAAUUAAGUCUUGGGAAAAUCACAGGAGUCUUCCUUCCCGUUGGCAAUGAAUUCGUAUAUUUAAUAUUUGGGGGAAAUAUGGGCUAGAGAGAGCUGAUAUUAUCAGU